rnacentral:rRNA from 1 species
AUUGAACGCUGGCGGCAGGCUUAACACAUGCAAGUCGAGCGAGCGGCGGACGGGUGAGUAAUGUCUGGGAAACUGCCUGAUGGAGGGGGAUAACUACUGGAAACGGUAGCUAAUACCGCAUACCAUCAGAUGUGCCCAGAUGGGAUUAGCUAGUAGGUGGGGUAAAGGCUCACCUAGGCGACGAUCCCUAGCUGGUCUGAGAGGGGGACCAGCCACGCUGGGACUGAGACACGGUCCAGACUCCUACGGGAGGCAGCAGUGGGGACUGUUGGACAAUGGGCGCAAGUCUGAUGCAGCCAGGCCGCGUGUGUGAAGAAGGCCUUCGGGUUGUAAAGCGCUUUCAGCAGGGAGGCGUUACUCGCAGAAGAAGCACCGGCUAACUCCGUGCCAGCAGCCGCGGUAAUAC